CCCUUAGAUGUUCGGAGCUGCACGCGCGCUACACUGAAGGAAUCAGCGUGCUAAAACCAUUGUCGAAAGGCAUUGGUAAACCCAUUAAAAUCCUACGUGAUUGGGAUCGGGAAUUGCAAUUAUUUCCCUUGAACGAGGAAUUCCCAGUAAGUGUGGGUCAUAAGCUCGCGUUGAUUACGUCCCUGCCCUUUGUACACACCGCCCGUCGCUGCCCGGGACUGAGCCGUUUCGAGAAAAGCGGGGACUGCUGCUGUCGGGGCUUUCGGGCCUUGGCUUCGGUGGAAACCGCUUUAAUCGCAGUGGCUUGAACCGGGCAAAAGUCGUANCA
rnacentral:rRNA from 1 species